rnacentral:lncRNA from 7 species
AAAGUGGUUAUUCUGCUACAGAAAGCUGCCUCAAACUGCUCUUCUGGUUAGCCUCUCUGGAAACAGGCUCAGUGGGAGACUUUAAUCACCUAAUCAAACAAGUAAUAGAAAUGAUUAAUGAUUCCUAACCUGUUCAAACCCAGCAUCUCUCGGGGUCUGCUUCAUCACCUGAACUUACAAGAUCUACAUCUGCCAGCUUGGCUCAGUCAACGUCAUCAGCCUACCUAACCUGAACAAUUUGGAGUGAUGAUGCAGAAUUGUCUGUGUAAGAAGUUGCAUCUAUUUUGUGGUCUCUCCUGAUUAGCUUGCCCUGGCCUUAAUUUUCAUUCUGCCGGAGAAAAACAAGAUUGCUCUCCUGAGCUUUCUCGACUUCAGCAAAUUGAGCUGAUCCCCCUACUUGCAGGAAGGACCUUGUCAGAGGCCACUGCUUGAAUUUUCCCAGAAUUAGAAUAGUUUUUUGUGAAACAACAGCAACAACACUCGCUCAGCCAGAUGGAAAGUGAAGAGACACAUCAUUUGGAUACCUGUCUGCAUCUCUGUUGAAGAAACUAGCACGUGUGCAGUUCUCAAGGGGGCAGAGGAGGAACAAAGCCUUGCCAUCAAGUCGGUUCCAGCAGACAGAAAUCAAUAUUUCCUGCAGAAUUCUUCUAGCGCUAUCAGGAAAGUGACAAUACAGAUAUCAUCAGUUUAGAUGAGAAGAAAGGGGUGAUAGUAGAACAUGGAAGAAGUGAAUAUAUUAAGACAAAGUACAAAGUAACAUAACCAGCCAGCCAGACCUAGAGAAAGCCAUGCUGCAUGUGAAACCUGUGUCCUAGGAUAUUACUUAGGCUUCACAGGCAGCAAAGAGAGACGCACAACCAUCCAGCCUUUCUCUGCAACUGGAGUGAAUUGAUCUCCAAGCAUGCUAAUACAUCCCCUAAAUUUUAUGAGAAAGUUUUCCAGUACUUCCAACAAAUGCCAACAACAUACAAGACCUGGAGGCUUAGUAGCUAGGUGUGAUAUGGACAUUGCAUCUUAAUUUUAACAUUUGAAUAAGCUUAUAUCUCUGGCUAGUCAGCCACCUGUCAAGACUUUUUUUUUAAAAAAAAAUAGCCCUCAGGAAAGCCUGGAAAAUGAAGUAUACAGACCUACAAACACAGAAUAAAUUAAGCAAAGACUUUUACCAAGCCCAUUUGCUGUAAGCACAGCAGCAGUAAUUUCUCUUCAGAUGCACUAUUAGCCCUUCAUGCUCUCAGUUGCUUUUCUGUCG